GACUGACAGAUCCCGUAACCAAUCAAACUCAGUCCUGUAACCAAAAUCGCUUUGAUUGACAGAUCCCGUAACCAAUCAAACCCAGUCCUGUAACCAAAACCCGCUUUGAUUGACAGAUCCCGUAACCAAUCAAACCCAGUCUUGUAACCAAACCCGCUUUGAUUGACAGAUCCCGUAACCAAUCAAACCCAGUCCUGUAACCAAACCCGCUUUGAUUGACAGAUCCCGUAACCAAUCAAACUCAGUCCUGUAACC